GAAGGUAUAGCUCAGUAGUAGAGCACGUGCUUAGCAUGCAUGAGGCCCUGGGUUCAAUCCCCAGUACCUCCA
rfam:Camelus ferus unplaced genomic scaffold scaffold1033, whole genome shotgun sequence.